ACGAACGCUGGCGGCGUGCUUAACACAUGCAAGUCGAACGGAAAGGCCCUGCUUUUGUGGGGUGCUCGAGUGGCGAACGGGUGAGUACACGUGAGUAACCUGCCCUUGACUUUGGGAUAACUUCAGGAAACUGGGGCUAAUACCGGAUAGGAGCUCCUGCUGCAUGGUGGGGGUUGGAAAGUUUCGGCGGUUGGGGAUGGACUCGCGGCUUAUCAGCUUGUUGGUGGGGUAGUGGCUUACCAAGGCUUUGACGGGUAGCCGGCCUGAGAGGGUGACCGGCCACAUUGGGACUGAGAUACGGCCCAGACUCCUACGGGAGGCAGCAGUGGGGAAUAUUGCACAAUGGGCGGAAGCCUGAUGCAGCAACGCCGCGUGCGGGAUGACGGCCUUCGGGUUGUAAACCGCUUUCGCCUGUGACGAAGCGUGAGUGACGGUAAUGGGUAAAGAAGCACCGGCUAACUACGUG
rnacentral:rRNA from 1 species